rnacentral:sRNA from 1 species
GCCAGGUGUAGUGUUGUGCACCUGUAGUCCCAGCUACUCAGGAGGCUGAGGUGGGAGGGUCACUUGAGCCUAGGUCAAGGCUGCAGUGAGCCAUGAUUGUGCCACUGCACUCCAGCCUGGGCAACAAAGUGAGAUCCUGUCUCAA